CAUUUAGUAAUUUAGACUUUGAAGCCAUUGGAAGAAUCUUAAUUAAACCUUUUUUAGGCAUGAAAAAAUAGCUAUUACAGUGCUUGCAAAACCUAUCUUUCGCUUGGCUCAUGCGUUAUUAGGAUGAUGCUUAAAUUAUUAUUUUUUAAUGUAACUGUGUCUCCUUUAUUAAGAAAUGUUGACUAGACAAGUGAUCUGUCCAAAUUUAAAACUAGAAAUAGAACCUUUAUCUCCCACCCUGUCUGAAUUAUUCUUUCCAUAUGUAGCUGCUUAGUUGUGUCUUUACCACUAAUUAACCAUGUGAACUCUAAGCAAGUUAUUUUACUUUUCUUCAUCUUUUUAUCUUUUGUAAAAUUAGGGGGUUAUUAUGAAUCAUUUCUAACAUCUCUGCUAAUGCCCCAGAUACUGUAAAUGACCCAGAAUGUAAUUGCGGGCAGUGUUAACUUAGCUUCCUAGAAGAUGGGGGAUAUGACUGGGCCUUGAAUAAAAUCCAAGAUUUGGCAGAGUAGAGAGGGAAAGAAUUCAUGAGAUGGGGAGCAGUAGAACAAAGGCUUAGGUGUGAAUAUGUGGCUGUAGUAAAGAGAAAUGGCCUGAUUAUAGCAAUUAUAUGAGGUUUAGUAGAACCAUUUAAGAAAGGUAAAGCCACUUCAUAGAAAUUAUUUUAUCCCUGAUUUAAAGGGUUCAUGGGAUUGGGUCAGGCCCACUUGGAUGAUUCCCCUUUCUUAAAAGUCAGUUGUGCCUGAGCCAGGCAUGGUGCUAUAUGCCUGUAGGCCCCACUACUUGGGAGGCUGAGGCAGGAGGAUUGCUGGAGCUCAGGAGUUCAAGGCCAGCCUGGCAACAUAGUGAGACCUUGUCUCAAAAACAAACAAACAAACAAAAAAACAUAGACCAAAAAAAAAGUCAAUUUUGCCUAAAAUGUAAUCUAAUCACAGGAAUGAUAUCCUAUCAUAUUCACAGUCCUGAUGAUUAUACAGGGUGUGUACAUCAGGCUAGCAAUCUUGGGGGACAUCUUAGACUUCCACCUAUCACAUUAAACAUGUUCCUCACACUAAAUUAGCCCAUGAGCAAGGGUGGAUGUCAGAAAAGAGAGAAGUAGGAGUGUAUACCGAGGGAGUUAGUGAAUUGUGUUGUGAUUAUACAUAUAAGAAAACCUGGCUGGGCAUGAUGGCAGGUGCCUUGUAAUCCCAGCUACUCAGGAGGCUGAGGCAGGAGAAUCACUUGAACCCAGGAGGUGGAGGUUGCAGUGAGCCAAGAACACAAAAACCUUUGUAGUUCCCAGGGAUCCUGGGCCUCCUAGAAUCGUCAGAGUGUAAGGACCAAGUGGCAUUCAGCUGUGCUGUUCUGGUGGUAGUCCAUUUAGCCAAGAACUCAAAUAUAAUUGUAGUUGUCUAUUACAACUUAGCCUUAACAAAAUCUUUAGAAAGUAAUGAAAUACAGGCUUACAGUGUGGGUUUAUAUUUCCCGUGUGCUGGCCACAUGGUUCUUGCAAUUACCGUCCAUGAUUAACUGUCCAUGUGAAGCACAGAAGUAGGAAUUAGAAACACUUUUUGCUAUGUAGAAUGUACUCUGUGUUCAGAGUAAUGUUUAGUCAUACUCUCUUUUUAGAUCCCUGCUAACCUCUCUGCUGCUAAGAACUACCCAAUUACCUUUUGCUUGGCUACAUGAGCAUCCUGUGCCAAGAGAC
rnacentral:lncRNA from 1 species